AGAUUGAACGCUGGCGGCAGGCCUAACACAUGCAAGUCGAGCGGUAGAGAGGUGCUUGCAUCUCUUGAGAGCGGCGGACGGGUGAGUAAUGCCUAGGAAUCUGCCUAGUGGUGGGGGAUAACGUUCGGAAACGGACGCUAAUACCGCAUACGUCCUACGGGAGAAAGCGGGGGACCUUCGGGCCUCGCGCCAUUAGAUGAGCCUAGGUCGGAUUAGCUAGUUGGUGAGGUAAUGGCUCACCAAGGCGACGAUCCGUAACUGGUCUGAGAGGAUGAUCAGUCACACUGGAACUGACGACACGGUCCAGACUCCGUA
rnacentral:rRNA from 1 species